UCUGCAGAUAUAUAAGAUGCCAGAUACCC
rnacentral:piRNA from 1 species